rnacentral:rRNA from 1 species
UUAGAUACCCGCGUAGUCCCAGCCGUAAACUAUGCGCGUUAGGUGUAUCGGUGACCACGAGUUACCGAGGUGCCGAAGGGAAACCGUGAAACGUGCCGCCUGGGAAGUACGGUCGCAAGGCUGAACUUAAAGGAAUUGGCGGGGAGCACCACAACGGGUGGAGCCUGCGGUUUAAUUGGACUCAACGCCGGGAAGCUCACCGGAUAAGACAGCGGAAUGAUUGCCGGGCUGAAGACUCUGCAUGACUAGCUG